rnacentral:rRNA from 1 species
UACAUGUGGGGCAAGCGUUGUUCGGAAUUACUGGGCAUAAAGGGUGCGCAGGUGGGUUGGCAAGUUCGAUGUGAAAGCCCCGGGCUUAACCCGGGAAUGGCAUUGGAAACUGCUGAUCUGGAGGAUCGGAGGGGGGACUGGAAUUCUUGGUGUAGCAGUGAAAUGCGUAGAUAUCAAGAGGAACACCAGUGGCGAAGGCGAGUCCCUGGACGAUACCUGACACUGAGGCACGAAAGCCAAGGGAGCAAACAGG